AUUGAACGCUGGCGGCAGGCCUAACACAUGCAAGUCGAGCGAGCGGCGGACGGGUGAGUAAUGUAUGUGGAUCUGCCCGAUAGAGGGGGAUAACUACUGGAAACGGUAGCUAAUACUGCAUACUCUAGGAUGAACCCAUAUGGGAUGAGAUAGUAGGUGGGGUAAUGGCUCACCUAGGCGACGAUCCCUAGCUGGUCUGAGAGGAUGAUCAGCCACACUGGGACUGAGACACGGCCCAGACUCCUACGGGAGGCAGCAGUGGGGAAUAUUGCACAAUGGGCGCAAGCCUGAUGCAGCCAUGCCGCGUGUAUGAAGAAGGCCCUAGGGUUGUAAAGUACUUUCAGCGGGGAGGCGUUACCCGCAGAAGAAGCACCGGCUAAAUCCGUGCCAGCAGCCGCGGUAAUUC
rnacentral:rRNA from 1 species